GAACUUAUAUCAUAUGAUAUCAGUUUUUGGUAAGUUUUACGGUCUCACGUGAUUCGCUCAUAUGAUCUUGAAAGCUUAGCACAUCUCCAGCUGAUGAACAGCUCCUCAUUCAACUCCCAACUGGGAUUCAGUUAUUUUAUUUCUUGAGUCUCCACAUAGUUCGUUUAUUGAUCUUUCAAAAAAUGGCUUGGUUCUUAGAGAUGGAACACAGAGAAGGGUUUCAAUUCCUCAGCCCGCACAAAUCUCUUGAAUGAUAAACAAACCCUUGUUUUCACCCUUUCUUGGUUUUUUGACCCCCUGAAAGUGCUAUAUUUAUUUAUUUAUUUAUGCCGGGUGAUAAUUAGGGUUUAUUGAUCAUCCAAUUAUUAUCCUGUUUCACCCGAGAAGGGUUUCAAUUCCUCAGCCCGCAUGAAUCUUUUGAAUGAUAAACAAACCCUUGUUUUCAUCGUCUCUUGGUUUUUAGACCCCUGAAAGUGGUAAAUUUAUUUAUUUAUUUAUGCCGGGUGAAAAUUAGGGCUUGUUGAUCAUCCAAUUAUUAUCCUGUUUCACCCAGAUAAGAGUUUCAAUUCCUCAUCCCGCAGAAAUCUCUUGAAUGACAGAAAAAUCCUUGUUUUCAUCGUCUCUUGGUUUUUAGACCCCUGAAAGUGCUCUAUUUAUUUAUUUAUUUAUUUAUGCCGGGUGAAAAUUAGGGUUUGUUGAUCAUCCCAUUAUUAUCCUGUUUCACCCAGAGAAGGGUUUCAAUUCCUCAUCCCGCACAAAUCUCUUGGAUGCCAGAGAGACUCUUUUUUACCCGCUCUUGUUUUUUGGACUCCCC
rnacentral:lncRNA from 1 species